ACAAGACUUAGUGACUAAACACUUUAACCUUUGCAUUCUAUUAGCUUCAUUAUAAAUUUAUCUCUAAAGGGAUGUUGCCUAAGGAUUAAAAUAUACAUAAAAGCCUUUCUCCAGGAACCGUGCCUCCCAGGCCUGAGGGCUUAAGGUGAAAAAUACCUUUGUUUAGCUUCCAGAGAAACCCUGACCCAGCCCCACUGUGAAUGGAUGCUGGAAAGAAGAAAUUAUCAUAUCCGUCCCCCCCCCAACCCCCCAACCCCUGCCCAAGUCUGGUGAGAACAAGGAAAUAUUUGCAACAACUUCCUGGGUUUUUUUGUUUGUUUGUUUGUUUUAACUUUAUUGCCUCACCUUCCCCUCUUUGUUCCAUAAAAGACACUAGCAUCCAAGCCAGACCAGAGGGUUCUUGAGGCCAUUUGACCACCAUCUUCUGCAGUUGGUUGGCUUUGCGGAUAAAGUGGCUAUUUCUUUCCCCAGCACCUCAUCUCUCUAUGGAUUGACCUGUGUGGGACUAGAAGUAGGAGCUUGGACUUGAUCACAAACUUUAGCGACGCCAGUCAGGGCCUUGCUACUAGAGGCCAGCGGGCGGGUUACAUAAUUUUAGGGUAAGGCCCUAGGAGCUGCAGGAACCACUUGUUCUGAAAAUCUUCCCCUUCAAAGUCCCCUGAAGCGGCACCAGACUCUUGCAGCAAGGAAUGCACAGACUUCUAGGAACUGAAGAACUCGACCAUCCAGUAGUGUGAGUCGCUGUUGGUGGACAACAGGGAACACCCUCCCCCACACAGUUGGGGUUUUCCUCCACCAGGCCAGCCAAUUUGUUUUGCCUUUGACUGAGAUACGCUGUUGGAGAGGGCACUUGUUGGACUCUACCCGACUUGGAAACUGUGUGGCUGUAUUUGGAAUAAGGAAGUAAUUAAAGUUAGAUUGGUGUUCUUGAAAGAAGAGAUAUCCGGGAAGCUCAUUCCCUGUUUCUGCCUUUGAGGACACAGCAAGAAGACAGCCCUUUAUAAGCCCAGAAGAGAGUGCCCACCAGUAACUGAAUCACCUAGUGCCUUAAUCUUAUACUUCUCAGCCUCCAGAACUGCAAGAAAACAAAAUUUUUUCAGUUUAAGC